UAAAAACCUUUAAGGAAGGAGAUUCCACCACCUCCCUAGGUAACCUAUUCCAGUGCUUCACCACCCUCCUAGUGAAAUAGUUUUUCCUACUAUCCAAUCGAGACCUACCCCACUGCAACUUGAGACCAUUGCUCCUUGUUCUGUCAUCUGCCACCACUAAGAACAGCAGAACUCCAUCCUGUUUGGAACCUCGCUUCAGGAGAGCUCUCCCCGAGCGAUAAAGCAUAUCUACACUGCCUAUGUCACAGCACUGCCGCAGCCGCACUGUAACCCUCCAGGUCCUGACCAGGUGCUGGUUUGCUGGAUGAGCUGUUCCACUACCUCCAACAGUCAUCGCUGUUGGCUGCCACCCUGGCCCAGAGAUCAAGCUACCGAGACAUACAAGGUGAAAGAAGAUGAGCAGUGAAACCAAGUUCAUGUGACCUGCAGCGGCUGCAUAGCUAAGUGGGGUCAUUCCAUUUUCAGAUGUCCCAUCCAGAGCAGCUCCAAAUUCCACCAGAAGAGUGACCAUUUCUUCAUGUCCCAGCUCCGGAUUCUUCAAGGUUUCUUCAAUCAUUUGAAACAGCCAGUCUCUUCCGACAAACACAGAGUCUGUUGUUAUGCUUGGCACUUCAAACAAUAGUGGCUUUAGCAAAAUGUCUUGAGGCUUAUAGGGGGCAAAACGUGCUGAGAAGUGGAAAGGAAAAAAGUUUAUUAGAAGAAAAUAUUGUUAUGCAAUGAAAAUCUAUUUACUGGCAGCGGUAUUUAAGAAGACAAUUUUAAUAACUUUUGCUCACAAAGAUAAACUGAAUAUGAAUGAAG